rnacentral:lncRNA from 1 species
GGUGUGAAUAGCAUUCACAUAGUUGACUUGAUUUUUUUGUUGGGAUCGUGGACUAUUUUGGUUUCUCAGAUUGGGCUCAGCUUGGCUAGAUAGCCUAUCUCACUCUCAAUCAUGGCAGAGGUUAGCUGACCUACCUGAAUUUCCAAAUGGGCUAUGGCCUGGGUGUUAAUAUUUAUGAGUUGACCCCUAGUUUGCAUAAAUUUGCUCAGUGUGGCAUUUGUGUCAACAUUGGAUUUGGCCAGGAUUUCUAGGCUUUUCUCUAGAGAACUAAGUUUUUUCUCAUUAUUAUUAAAGCCUGCUGGGUUGUUAAGCCUUGGA